GAUGAACGCUGGCGGCGUGCUUAACACAUGCAAGUCGAACGGGAAACCUUUUAUUGAAGCUUCGGCAGAUUUAGCUGGUUUCUAGUGGCGGACGGGUGAGUAACGCGUGGGUAACCUGCCUUAUACAGGGGGAUAACAGUCAGAAAUGGCUGCCAAUACCGCAUAAGCGCACAGAGCUGCAUGGCUCAGUGUGAAAAACUCCGGUGGUAUAAGAUGGACCCGCGUUGGAUUAGCUGGUUGGUGGGGUAACGGCCCACCAAGGCGACGAUCCAUAGCCGGCCUGAGAGGGUGAACGGCCACAUUGGGACUGAGACACGGCCCAGACUCCUACGGGAGGCAGCAGUGGGGAAUAUUGCACAAUGGGGGAAACCCUGAUGCAGCGACGCCGCGUGAAGGAAGAAGUAUCUCGGUAUGUAAACUUCUAUCAGCAGGGAAGAUAAUGACGGUACCUGACGAAGAAGCCCCGGCUAACUACGUG
rnacentral:rRNA from 1 species